UACGAAGGGGGCUAGCGUUGUUCGGAAUUACUGGGCGUAAAGCGCGCGCAGGCGGCUCUUCAAGUCAGGGGUGAAAGCCCAGAGCUCAACUCUGGAACUGCCUUUGAGACUGAAGAGCUUGAGUAUGGAAGAGGUAAGUGGAAUUGCGAGUGUAGAGGUGAAAUUCGUAGAUAUUCGCAGGAACACCAGUGGCGAAGGCGGCUUACUGGUCCAUAACUGACGCUGAGGUGCGAAAGCGUGGGGAGCAAACAGG
rnacentral:rRNA from 1 species